rnacentral:lncRNA from 1 species
AGAAAACCAAGUUUUAUGCAACUUAGGAGCGAAGCCUUCCACACACUCACCAAACCACUUAGAAUAUAUCAAAUUCCACAUAAUCGAAGCAAUAAACUGUAAAAGAAGUUGGAGAGUUUAAACCCACACCUGAUUCACGAUCAGAGACGUCCAGAACCUGACUUGAUGACCAAGAAAUCAAAGCUCUUCGAAAACUACAACACAACUAUUUUCAAAAAAGAAAAGAAGAAAAAACAAAAAGAAAACAAAGAAAGGGGAAAAGGAGAACCUCUAGAAAGAAAGAAAAGAAAAAUAAAAAUAAUCAUAACAAUAAUAAUAAACAGUAAGUAAAGAAAAUAAUUAUCUAAACCUUUAAAACAAAAAAAAUGGUCCCUCAAAACAUUCCAAAGGACUCAAACCCGUGACCCAAAGGCACAUUAACACACUACCAACCACUAGACCAGCAGGCUUAUUCUGUCACUUAA